rnacentral:snRNA from 1 species
AUACCUUUCUCGGCCUUUUGGCUAAGAUCAAGUAUAGUGUUUGUUCUUAUCAGUUUAAUAUAUGAUAUGUGAGUUAUCGACUCACACGAUAUUAACUUAAUUUUUUUAGGGAGAGAGUCUACCACAGUAGCUUGCUAUUGGGGCUCUCAAGUGUUAUCUUGGCGUUGCACUAUUGCCUUGGCCUGACACACCUUGC